UACAGAAGUCUCGAGCGUUGUUCGGAUUUAUUGGGCGUAAAGGGCGCGUAGGCUGCGGGGUAAGUCAGGUGUGAAAUCUCAGAGCUCAACUCUGAAAUUGCACUUGAUACUGCUCUGCUAGAGGACUGGAGAGGAGAUUGGAAUUCACGGUGUAGCAGUGAAAUGCGUAGAUAUCGUGAGGAAGACCGGUGGCGAAGGCGGAUCUCUGGACAGUUCCUGACGCUGAGGCGCGAAGGCCAGGGGAGCAAACGGG
rnacentral:rRNA from 1 species